rnacentral:rRNA from 1 species
UCCUACGGGGGGCAGCAGUGAGGAAUAUUGGUCAAUGGUCGGGAGACUGAACCAGCCAAGCCGCGUGAGGGAUGAAGGUACAGGGUAUCGUAAACCUCUUUUGUCAGGGAACAAAGGCGGGGACGUGUCCCCGGAUGAGUGUACCUGAAGAAAAAGCAUCGGCUAACUCCGUGCCAGCAGCCGCGUUAAUACGGAGGAUGCGAGCGUUAUCCGGAUUUAUUGGGUUUAAAGGGUGCGCAGGCGGUCUGUUAAGUCAGCGGUCAAAGCCCGGGGCUCAACCCCGGCCCGCCGUUGAAACUGGCAGG